AUACGGGAGGUCCGGGCGUUAUGCGGGUUUAUUGGGUUUAAAGGGAGCGCAGGCCGGUGUGUAAGCGUGACGUCAAAUACACCCGCUCAACGGUUGGCCUGGUCGCGAACUGCAAGCCCUGAGUACGCUGCAAGGCGGCGGGAUUUGGGGGGUAGCGGGGAAAUGCUAAGAUAUUACGAAGAACUACGAUUGCGAAGGCAGCCCGCUGUCGCGUGACUUACGCUGAGGCUCGAAGGUGCGGGUAUCGAACAGGAUUAGAUACCCUGGUAGUCCGCACUGUAAACGAUGGACACCCGCUGUGUGGCCUGUUAUGGUUGCGCGGCCAAGCGAAAGCAUUAAGUCUCCCACCUGGGGAGUACGCCGGCAACGGUGAAACUCAAAUGAAUUGACGGGG
rnacentral:rRNA from 1 species